GAACGAACUCCCGUCGUUGUUUCCGAUCAAAAUGUUGUAACUUCCAAUCUAAUUCGAAGGGAAUGUCCUCCGUGGAGCGAAGCCGAAGAACAACGACGAAAAAGAGAAGAUAAAGAAGUGAACCCUAGACGCCUCUGAGCGCACGAAACAGAGAAAGCUACCUUCACAGUUUCGUUGCACUCAUUUGCAGCUCGGCUUUCUGAGGUGAGAUGUGCCCCUGUUCGGUUCUAUAAGCCUAUAACUAUGAGGGUUUUAUAGAUUCUGAAGUCCGAAGGCUGAAGCAAUUGUUCAUCGGAAAAUGGUAUUACCUUUAUGUUUCUAAAAUUUUAUCAUCUUUAAUUUUUCUCUAUGAUUUUCCCAGAGCCUUUGUCCUGGCUAGGGUUUGCUUUUCCUUGUGAACUUGUCUUCUUCACCUUCUCCAACGAUGUCGAAUAGAAAGGGUUGAAGGAAGGAGAUUACAGGAGAAGCAUCUCCAACAUCUUAUAGCUCAGGUUUACCUCAUCCAUCAACACUAAAGAAUGAGGAAACUAUCACAGUUUCUAGUGAAAAAAAAAGCAGAUCCAAAUAGAGAUGUGCCAUUAUAGAAGUUUUAUAGAACAAAUGGUAAGAUAUCAAUA